GCGUCUGUAGCCUAGUUGGUAAAGGCAGCACUCUAGUAUGUGUCUCAGCAUAGCUGAGGCCGUGAGUUUGACUCUCACCAGACACA
rnacentral:tRNA from 1 species